rnacentral:rRNA from 1 species
UACGAAGGGGGCUAGCGUUGCUCGGAAUCACUGGGCGUAAAGCGCACGUAGGCGGCUUCUUAAGUCAGGGGUGAAAUCCUGGAGCUCAACUCCAGAACUGCCUUUGAUACUGAGAAGCUUGAGUCCGGGAGAGGUGAGUGGAACUGCGAGUGUAGAGGUGAAAUUCGUAGAUAUUCGCAAGAACACCAGUGGCGAAGGCGGCUCACUGGCCCGGUACUAACGCUGAGGUGCGAAAGCGUGGGGAGCAAACAGG